AAUAGAUACCCAGGUAGUCCAUGCCGUAAACGUUGGGUACUAGGUGUGGGGCUCAUUCCACGAGUUCCGUGCCGCAGCAAACGCAUUAAGUGCCCCGCCUGGGGAGUACGGCCACAAGGCUAAAACUCAAAGGAAUUGACGGGGGCCCGCACAAGCGGCGGAGCAUGCGGAUUAAUUCGAUGCAACGCGAAGAACCUUACCAAGGCUUGACAUGCACGGGAAGCCACCAGAGAUGGUGGUCUCUUUGGACACUCGUGCACAGGUGGUGCAUGGUUGUCGUCAGCUCGUGUCGUGAGAUGUUGGGUUAAGUCCCGCAACGAGCGCAACCCUGUCCCAUGUUGCCAGCGGGUUAUGCCGGGGACUCAUGGGAGACUGCCGGGGUCAACUCGGAGGAAGGUGGGGAUGACGUCAAAUCAUCAUGCCCCUUAUGUCUUGGGCUUCACGCAUGCUACAAUGGCCGGUACAAAGGGCUGCGAAUCCGUAAGGUGGAGCGAAUCCCAAAAAGCCGGUCUCAGUUCGGAUUGGGGU
rnacentral:rRNA from 1 species